rnacentral:rRNA from 1 species
UGGGGAAUUUUGGACAAUGGGGGAAACCCUGAUCCAGCCAUCCCGCGUGUGCGAUGAAGGCCUUCGGGUUGUAAAGCACUUUUGGCAGGAAAGAAACGUCAUGGGUUAAUACCCCGUGAAACUGACGGUACCUGCAGAAUAAGCACCGGCUAACUACGUGCCAGCAGCCGCGGUAAUACGUAGGGUGCAAGCGUUAAUCGGAAUUACUGGGCGUAAAGCGUGCGCAGGCGGUUCGGAAAGAAAGAUGUGAAAUCCCAGAGCUCAACUUUGGAACUGCAUUUUUAACUACCGGGCUAGGGUGUGUCAGAGGGAGGUGGAAUUCCGCGUGUAGCAGUGAAAUGCGUAGAUAUGCGGAGGAACACCGGUGGCGAAGGCAGCCUCCUGGGAUUACACUGACGCUCAUGCACGAAAGCGUGGGGAGCAAACUGG